CAGACCAUUACAAUUCAGAUUUUCAUAAACAUAGAAGGCAACCGGCAACCCAGCUUAGAUCUUAGCUGGGUUGCCUUCUAAACCCAACUCGAGUUUGAUAUAGUUUCAUUUCUUAUAGAGUAGUGACAUGAAGAGUGUGAAGUGAAUAACCUGCAAUGUGUAUGUACAUGUACCAGAUCUGUACAUGAAAACAUAUAUAUAUUAUGUACAUGAGUACAGAUGCAUAAUAGAUGCGCAAACACGAAUGUUAUGAAUUUCGUUUUGGGGUCAAUGGAGUUGGCGCUGGUUGCCGUUACUGGCCUUUUGCGACGUCUUGAUAUCAGUUUACAAUAAUAGCUCUGGACUCUAGGGAAUCCAAACUCAUAUUCGAGUCAACCUGCAGAAAGGUCGGCCAGUUUGUCCAGACAGGAUGUCUUUCUCGCUUGAAGGUCACGAGAAACAUUACGUAAAACUGGCAUGCGGUGGUGAAGAGGUUGGGUGAGAAUGACACGUGUUUCAUCAUUAUCAAAGCAGACCCAUCCCCAGCAACGUCUACCUAAAGAAGG
rnacentral:lncRNA from 1 species